GCGGUUGUGGCGAAGAGGUUAACGCUCCGGAUUGUGGCUCCGGCACUCGUGGGUUCAAGUCCCAUCAGCCGCCCCA
rnacentral:tRNA from 4 species